CAAUUGAUUUCUUCAAAGAAAAAAAUCAUCUUAAGUUCUUGAAUGUUCAUCCUACCAAUUAAUUAGAAGCUACAAUAAGACAACCAAGGUGAGAACUUAGUCCAUAUCUUUACUUACGAGUUAUCUAUCUCGAUCACCUUCUCUCCCAUUACUUUAAAAUGUGUACAAUAAUGUCCGAGUAACGUUUUUUUCAGCUGCCAGAUGUCAUCCUUAUAGACAUUCUAUCAAGACUACCCUUGAGAUCAAUUUGCUUUUGCAAGUGUGUUUGCAAAUCCCUUCUUUAUCUUAUAACCUCAAAAAAUCAAUAAUUAUGUAGGUUACACCUUUCAAGAUCACACCCUCAAGAGCUCAUUUUCCAAUUCCAUGACAAAUUUAUAGCUUCUAACACCCUCCACCUCAUCAAUGACCAAAAACUCAUAAUCCUCCCCCUAGCAAUUAAAGAUUUACAGCUAAUUAAAACCAAGUUUUUUGUUUAUUCUAAUAAUAUUAUUAAGAACUCUUGUUGUGGAUUGCUCUAUUUGAUUGACAUCUUAGGUAUAAGGCCUAGCAUUGUUACUACUCCUAUCAAUGGUGAGUAUAUUGUUCUUCCUAGAGAUACCAAAUGUUAUAUCUCGCAUUUUCGCAUGUUCGGAAAAUCUGAAAUAAUUGUGACUUGUAAGAAUUAAGGCCAUAAUUUGAUUUUUAUUUAAUGUAUGUGUGUUGACCAUGAAAUUUGUUGAUGUGGGAACAUGGAGGAAGGUCAAGGGCAAAAUGGGAAUUCUAGAAACUAGUUUCGGAAAUUUUAAAAUAAGACCCGCAACAAUUUGGGCCUAAAUGAAAUGAAAAAUAAAAAUAAAAAAAAGGGCCCAAUUCAUUAGGCAUUGGCCGGCCAUGUGGAGGAAAAGAGGGGCCCAAGCCCAUAAGAUUUUAAAAGCCUUGUAUUAUAAAGGAAAGGGGACUAGUCUUCUUCAACAUAGUAGAAGUUUCAAGAACAAGAGAGAGAGAGCAAGAACCAAGAGGGGUUCGGCCAACCUACAAAACAAUAAAUAAAUUGUGGAGCUCAAAUAUUUGGUUCAAACUCAUCUCUUUUGAAUUUCUAUUAAGUUGGAAACCCUCUUCAAUGUGAUACAAAUUUGGAGGCAAGAAAGUACUUUUUUUACAAAGAGGAGAAUUUGGAAAAGAUAAGAAUUCUACUCUUUUUGGCUUGGAAGAAUUUUAUAUAUAUGUUGUAGUAUGUGGGAAUGAAUGUAGAGUAUGAAAAUUUUGUGUCAUGGGUAUGUGUGUGUGUGGCCGAAAAUGGGUAUUGAUGAAGAGGAAUGAUCAAAUUUUAUUUACUAUGUUAAUUGUGUUGUAAUGGCCUUUUAAUGCAAAUGGAAGAAUUCUAGUUCUAGUUGGCAUGAAAAAUUUGUUGUUAAGUUGUUGUCGGAAAGUAUGUGAUGUUAUUAUAGAUUAUGUAAUUAUGGGAAUGAAAUUGUUAAAGUGCAAAUUUUGGUUGUUGUUGAUGAAAUUGGGAGAUGAAAAAAAUUGUGUGUUGUGAAUGUUGUGUCGAAGGUUGGAGAUUUCGGAUGAAUUCUAGUCUUGGUGGAAUUUUUGUAUAUUUUGUAGAAUGGUAUGAAAUGCAUUGAAAUGCUUUUGAAUGAUCUUGAAUUGGUAGUGGACAUGUAAGAAUCGAUAUCGGCUUGAAAAUUCGUGAUUGAAUUGAAUGUUGAUGGAUUAUGUUGGAAAGGAGGUUACUAAUGUGGAAUGCGUUUUAAAUUGGUUUUUGAUGUUAUUGGUUUGGUUGUUGGUAUUGUUGGUAUGGUUGUUGAUGAAUUUGGCCGAGUUUAAUUCUCGGGGAUGUUGAAUUUACAGGGGAGGUGCUGCCGAAAUUUCGGUAGACAAAUACUAAUUAGAAUUAAAAAUUCUAAGUACUUGUAGCUAAUAUUUGGUAAUCGAUAAUGUUAUUGUAGAUCUUGGAGAGCCCGAGACUUGAUUCGGGAAUUGAUUAGCGAGCGAUCGAGGUACGGACGUUUGUUCUGGUGACCCGCCAGUGUAGGAUACAUUCUGCUACUUUGGAGUGCUCUUUUGACUCGGAGCCCAUACUUUUGGUAAAGACCUUUCAUGGUAUAUGUCUCUGUAUAUAUGUAUGACUAUCUGGGGUAAGGCGGGGCCCUGUCCCGUCAUAUGUUUCUGUUAUGUUUUGUAGAGGCCUGUAGUCAUAUAUGUGGGUCAUGUUUGUUCGUUUGUGAUUAUGAUCUGCGUCUUAAUGCGGCCCCGUUUACUAUUAUGGCCAAAACGGCCCAUUUGUCUGUAUAUGUGUAUAUAUCUGGCGAUGUGUAUUCCGCCAAUCUAUUGGAUUUGGAUAUGAUGUUUC